rnacentral:rRNA from 1 species
ACGGAAGGCAGCAGUGGGGAAUAUUGCACAAUGGGGGAAACCCUGAUGCAGCGACGCCGCGUGAGCGAAGAAGUAUUUCGGUAUGUAAAGCUCUAUCAGCAGGGAAGAUAAUGACGGUACCUGACUAAGAAGCUCCGGCUAAAUACGUGCCAGCAGCCGCGGUAAUACGUAUGGAGCAAGCGUUAUCCGGAUUUACUGGGUGUAAAGGGAGUGUAGGCGGAAGGCUAAGUCUGAUGUGAAAACCCGGGGCUCAACCCCGGGACUGCAUUGGAAACUGGUUUUCUAGAGUAUCGGAGAGGUAAGUGGAAUUCCUAGUGUAGCGGUGAAAUGCGUAGAUAUUAGGAGGAACACCAGUGGCGAAGGCGGCUUACUGGACGAUAACUGACGCUGAGGCUCGAAAGCGUGGGGAGCAAACAGGAUUAGAUACCCUGGUA